AUCCUUUUCCGGUUCAUAAGUGUGAUGAUUGGGUUCUCACACGCCUGCGCCUGCCUGACAUGUGCCUCCCUCUAAACCUUGUUACAACGUGGGCACAUUACCCAUCUGACA
rnacentral:snoRNA from 1 species